rnacentral:ncRNA from 1 species
GACUACCUGGUUGAUAGGCAAGGUGUGUAAGCGUUGUGAGGCGUUUAGCUAACUUGUACUAAUUGCACGUGAGGCUUGACCAU